rnacentral:lncRNA from 1 species
CCAGCAGUCACUGUUGUUACCAGGUCAGGAGAUUUCCCAGGCUCAGGUGGCUAGACACUGAAAGAACGAAGGCCUGGACUCGGGCCUCCUCCCCUUCAAACCAGGGGUGUUUCGAUCACUCAUCAUACGAGGAUAGUUAGAAGGUGCCUAAGAAGUGGCAAAGAGAAUAAGAGAAUGAGAAGAUGGAGUACCCAGAAACCAUCACAGACAAGUCACCUGGAAGCCCCGUCUGCCCCUGUCUCCAGUCAGCCCAUGACUUCACCUCAGACAAAACCAGAGGAAGGAGCCACAGGACCCCGUCACUACACAGAAGGGCUCCGCGUGCCCAGCCAGAUCCAUCCAUUCCCCGUGGGCUUGGUUCUGACCACUUCCAGCGGCGCGUCUGCAACUUUUGGAUCGUUGCCAAGCUGAAAUGUGAGGAACGGUAUCUCGGGGUAUUAUCAUUUGCAUUUCUCUUAUUAGGAGCAAAGCUGCACAUAUUUUCAUAUGGUUAAGAGCCAUUUGCCUUUCUUUUUUAAGGGAACAGUCUGUUCAUUUCCCUAGUCCAUUUAUCUACCAAGUUAUAGGCUUUUGCUUCUCUAUUUUUAGAUGCUCUUUAUAUAUUUGACAUGUUAACCCUUUGUGAUAAAAGUUGCAAAUUUCUU